ACUGAAGUCCAUCUGAUGCAUUGUGUUCUGCGUAAGCGCUAUUCGUCAUGAUUCGUUACUUGGCAAAUACUGUAAACAGAAGCAGUCGCUGCCAGGUCCCAGCCAGUGCGCCCCCCUGGACGUCCACCAUUUUGAAUAUUAUCAGUGGGAUUGAAUGCCUACCAAACACAUACCGGCCAUUUUGAUGACGAAUUACGGUCACGUCAAAAUCAUUGGAAAAUCAUAGGAAAAACCACGAAAUCGGGCUUCUGUAUGACCCACUCUGUGCUCUCAAUCGUCCACAAAAUAUUUGAGACAAACCCCCUCCCACAAUGUCAAUGUUGUUAAGCACUACAAAAUAGUUUAAAUCCAACAUCAUCUGUUAAAUUUCAACUGCCAGUGAUACACUUGCGGUUCUAGUAUCACCUUAUGUUCCUUUUCGAUAAGUACAGUAGGUUUCAACAUUGAAAUAAGGGGGGAGGGGAUUGAUUUAAAAAGUCUCAAUAUGUUUUGUGGACGAUUGCUGGUUAUGAUGUGCUAUCGCUUAUAACUUUUGGUACAACUGGCCUAAAACUUAAAAUACUGAAUCAAUAAGUUUAAUAUCAAUAUAUUUAUUGAAAAAUAGCUAUUAUGUCAAAAUAAGAAAACUUAAGAUUCUCACGCGAAUAAGUAAUGUUUUUAUGAGCGACUGUUCAUCGGUAGUUGCAAACGACGGUAAUAUAAACAAGGUCAAGGUUUUAUCGAAGCUUCAAAGCGAUUGACUGUUAGAUUUCCUUUACUAUUUUACAACUAAAUAAUGUCAAUUCCUACAAAUUUAGCUUUAUUAUAGC